CCACACCACACGCGAGUGCUGUGCAUCCGAUUAUUUCAUGCGCAAGGACGUGAUUUUGGUGACGGUGCAAUAUCGAUUGGGUGCCUUCGGUACGCAUGCAGUGGUACUUCUAUAUUGAAGGGUACAUAUGUAUAUAGUUGUCCUGUGUGUAGUGCUUAUAUACUAGAGCCGCUUUAUAGGUUUAAAAAACCCAUCUUCAUACGCCCGGCUUUAAGGAUUCAAUUGCAGCGCUAAAAUAUAUUAAACGCAAUUGCGAAUGCUUCGGUUGCAAUCAGAAACGCAUAACAAUUUUCGGCGCUGUCAGUAUAGUAUUGCAGAUACUGAGCACUCAAGCGAGCGCACUAUUUCCGCGCUUCAAUGCACAAUCGUACACUAUCGAUUUGGCAGCGUUUGACCGCAAGCCAAAUGUAUAUGAUUUUCCCAAAAGCGGUUGGUUACAAUAGCUAUUGAGGAUGUGCAUAAUAUAUUCCAUCGUCUAAACAGUUCUAUGUUGGAAUUGGAAAUGAAAUGUCUAAUAUUACUUCGUAGCCCUCAACUUCCUACAUUAAACUCCGUUCAUUUGUACUUAAUGUUAGAUUCACAUUGCGACCUUUGGUCUGCUGUGACUUCAGUUCGAUUGUAUCUAUUUAUCCAGAGUCCUUUGUGGAUAACUUAUUCCAAUGAUUUCACUCUUUCCUCUUCCAGUCAAUUCACAUUUAAGAAUCAGAUACUUAAGUGGCUCCCCCGUAAGUUCACGGAACCGACGGUUUUCCGUCGAGGUAAUACCAAUUUGGAUACUUUAAUUUACAAUGUUUGUCUCUGUCGAGAUAUUCCUGGAUGUGUGAACUCACGGUAUAGAUUUACUAGGAUGGUAUUGAUGAUCUCCGUCAAGUCAUCGGACAUCUAAUUUUCUACGAUAUUUAUGUGUUCAGUGGUUAAAAUGAAAUGGAGGCCGUUCCUGGUUGAUAUCCUAAGUAGCUUUGCAGAAGCAGGUUAACAUGCCAUGUAACAGAAGAUUAGGAUCAACUCAACACUCUAUUUUGUCUUGGAAUGUUUUAUGGACACUAUAAAUGCUUCUUGCUACUUUCCAUGACAGCAGAGAUCCGGUUCAAUUUUAAGUGGCUCUGUCCAAAGGAACGACGAGUUCCACUUAAUGACAUAUAUUUGCAAUUAUAGGCAAUCCUUAAUCCUUAAUUUAACCGAGCAAAGGAUUAAAUAUAAGCACAGGAAAUAAAGUAAUUUCACUCACAGUUAUUAAUAUGAUUUGAUUUCCGUUUACCUUAGUCCUGCAGUCGCAUAGAAAAACAAACCAGAAACAACAACAAAUUUACUAUAUUUCAACUUGCCACAUACGGCUACUUCUAGCAUCCGCCGCAUCAAAUCAUUGAAGCACGCCUACAAUGCGCUGCUCACAUGUCCAGCCAGUCGCCUCAAUAGCUUCGUCUAUGACUCGUCUCAGCUAAUGCAUCCGUUACACUUUGGCAGCGACAUUUUUAUUGAAGGUCUCGCCCACCCAAAAACCACUGUCUCCACCACCGCCACUGCAGGAAGCCAUGCCACACAUGGUGCCGCGUUAGCCUAUCUAUUUCACAGUGUGUUUGAUGUGCGUACGAAGUAGUAAAGCAUAGAGCACCGCACCAUUAAGCGCUUGAUUGGCUGGUGGACGACAUUCGCUGCGACGUGCAAUCCGAGUCCGAGUGAAGGCGAAAUUAAUGGCUUGAAAGGUACUAAAUGACGGCCAUUGCGACGCUUUGCAACAGACAGCAGCACUUCCGUCAC